rnacentral:lncRNA from 1 species
GGAAAGAGGAGGUGAGAGGAGAGAAAUAGAGAAUCAGAAUCUGCCCUUGAAUGAAACACUAUUUGAAGCAUUAAAUCACUAAGAGAAUGCAACCCUUGAAGGCAGAUUGAACAUGGAACUUCUGUUACCUUAUUAAGUCAAACCAGUUAGAAACCAGAUGUCUCCUAAGAAAUGGAACAUAUUUGUUUACAAACAUAUAUAGUAAAUGACAAGAUGUAUGGAAAAUAAAUAUGACACUCUCUGAAUUUUUAAAAAGAGUUCUUUACUAAGUUAGCAAGUGACAUAGGUAAGGUAGGAUCAGCCUAACAUGAAUAACAGUUUUCCUUUAAAGGACCCAGAAACGGGGAUCUAUAAAUAAAAUACAUUAGCCAUGCAGUAACUUUGCUUAAAAAAUAUUUUUUUGUGUUUAAUUAGUAAUGUUCUAUCACACCUUAAAGAAUGGGGCCUCACUUCUCUCAAACCUUCCCUUCCACAUGCCCUGGGUGAGGAGACAUGGAAUCAGUGACUCAAAGGACAAGUGGCACCAUUGCCACUAUCACUCAGGAGGUGAAUUGAUGCAAAAAUAAGACAGAUCAGAAGCAGGUGAUACGCUGCUAUUCAUAAACCCGUUCAUCCGAAAAUUGAAUGCCUCUCUCCAGACGUCACCCCUAAUGGGUAGCUGUACCUGGGCAUGCUCACCCAGCUUUUGGAUGAAACUCUUCCUCCGAGGGUGACAGGGAGUGGAGAAAUGAUGCUGGCCACGGGACAGGCAUGGAGAGCCUGCCCUUCCAACUUGCUUCUGUGAGUGCUCGUCUGGGGAUCCCUGCAGCACCUCCGACUCACCACGUCCAGGACUCAAUGCACCACCUGCGUCUCCUGUGUUCUCCAGUGCUGAAAACGGCAUCACCAUCCUAACACCCAAGCUUCUCAGUCAUUUUUGAAUCAUCUUCUUCUCUGCAGCCCAUACUUAAUGAACUCUUCAGUCUUGCUGAUUUUAAGGUGCCAACUUCUCAGGCUUUUUCCUCCUCUCCAUUAUCCUGGUGCAAACCCUUGAGAAUGGCCCUUGAGCCCCUGACCUAAGCCCUAGAAAUAGUGCCAUGAGCAAACAUCUACACUCGUUUCUUUCAAAAGACCUUUGCUAAGCCAUGGCUAACAUUUUCAUUUCCGUCAUACCUGGACUGCUGUCGCUGGUCUCUACAACCAAGAGCGCUCUGCACACACUGUUGUUCUGACUCUCUCAAUCACUCCAAAUAUAUAAAAGACUCACUUCCACCCAGACACAUCCCCCCCAUUUGAUACAGUUUGGACCUAUUUCCCUGCCCAAAUAUCACGUCGAAUUGUGGUCCCCAGUGUUGGAGGUGGGGCCUGGUGGGAGGUGAUUGGAUCAUGGCUGCGGAUUUCCCCCUCAGUACUGUCCUCACGAUAGUGUAUGAGUUCAUCUGAGAUCUGGUCAUUUAAUAGUGCGUAGUAUCUGCUCCCUAAUCUCGCUCCUGCUCCAACCAUGUAAGACGGGCCUGCUUCUCCUUCGCCUUUUGCCACGAUUGUAAGUUUCCUGAGGCAGAAGCCCAGGAGCAGAAGCCGCUAUGCUUCCUGUACAGCCUGCAGAACCAUGAGCUCAUCAAACCUUGUUUCUUUAUAAAUUACACAGUCUCAGGUAUUUCCUUACAACUGUGUGAGAAUGCACUAAUACACCCCUCAGGAAGUUUCCCUGUCCUCUAGAAGUGUAACUAUAUCUCAGCUUGGGAGGGCAAGCAGGGAUUAAGGUCCUAUAGGCCCCAAAUGCCCAUAGGCAUGAAUAGCUUUUCUUCCAGCAUUGGAAUAGAUGCAGCAGCUGAAGUGGCUCGCUUCUGUUAGGGCGUGGUUGCACUGGAGGGCCAUGACGUAAUUACUACACUUCAGAGGCAGGUGAAGAGCUGAAACUGACAGAGGAAUGCAGGAUUCUUAUGUUUGAUCUCAUGGUCUCUCCAGAGUGUGGACCCAAGAGUAGCGUGGAAGGUGGAGUGGACAGAAGGGGGCCUGGCCUGCUCUCUGGGCCUGGUUGGAUUUGAAUAAAUUACAGUAGAUGCAUGCUGACUUCACAUUGCAAUCGCAGCCUCGUCCUGCUUGUUUUUAUUUUCAACUCAAGUCCGUCAAUCAGUUUUCAUCCUUCAGGUUUGGCCCUGUUGUUUCCUCACUCAUGUAUAAUCUUUCACACAAACUAUCUCUUAGGGUAGGGGCGUGGGGGAACUAUAGACUAAUUCCCUUCAUUCAUUUUGUAUGCAUCCACUGCAGUAAAAAUCAAUUUAGAAUCCAUCACUCUUAGGAUGCUUUUCUGAUUAAGUAAGAAACAUUUACCAUCCACACAGCAUAUCAAGCUUUACCACUGGACAAUUUUAAUGCAGAUUAAAGCAUAAAGUAGCUCUCUGCUUUUUCCAAGAUCCAGACUGGUCCCCUAGAAAGCCUUCCCCGAUGCCCCCAGAUAAAGCGAGUCAUCCCCUCUACUCAGUCCCACCCCACAGAAUCCAGCCCAGUAUAAUAAGGUCACAGCCUACAUCGCCUUUAUUCAUGUGUCUCUGGAACUCAGCAUGCAGUAGGUAUUCAUUAAGUAUUGAUUUUAUGAGAUUCAAGGUUUCUAUUUGUAUAUAAGAGAUUUAGUUGGCUAACUAACAGUUUCAAUGGUUGAUUACAAUCCUAAAUGAUCCAUGUCACUGGGAAAUCAUAGACACAUCUUUAAAGAAGCUUCCUCUUUUAUUUCCAGCUUUGUUGAGAUAUAAUUGACAAAUAAAAAUUGUAUAUACUUAAGUUGUA